AGCAGCCGCGGUAAUUCCAGCUCCAAUAGCGUAUAUUAAAGUUGUUGCAGUUAAAAAGCUCGUAGUUGAAUUUCGGGGUCAGUAGGUCGGUCGUGCCACUGGUAUGAACUGGUUUUACUGAUUCCUCCCUCUUGAAGAACUGUAAUGCCAUUAAUUUGGUGUUGCAUGGAAUCAGGACUGUUACUUUGAAAAAAUUAGAGUGUUUAAAGCAGGCUUUAGCUUGAAUACAUUAGCAUGGAAUAAUGAAAUAGGACGUUUGAUCCUAUCUGUUGGUUUCUAGGAUUGACGUAAUGAUUAAUAGGGAUAGUUGGGGGCAUUAGUAUUCAAUUGUCAGAGGUGAAAUUCUUGGAUUUAUUGAAGACUAACUACUGCGAAAGCAUUUGCCAAGGAUGUUUUCAUUAAUCAAGAACGAAAGUUAGGGGAUCGAAGACGAUCAGAUACCGUCGUAGUCUUAACCAUAAACUAUGCCGACUAGGGAUCGGAUGAUGUAAUUUUUUAAUGACUCA
rnacentral:rRNA from 1 species